AACUUUUGGCAACGGAUCACUUGGUUCUCGCAUCGAUGAAGAACGCAGCGAAAUGCUAUAAGUAAUGUGAAUUGCAGAAUUCAGUGAAUCAUCGAAUCUUUGAACGCAACUUGCGCUCCUUGGUACUCUGAGGAGCAUGCCUGUUUGAGUGUCAUUAAACUUCUUCUCAACCCAUCCAGUUUCUCUGUGUGUGGGCUUUGUAAAAUUGGGGGCUUGCUGGUUACUAUUUGUCCAGCUCUCCUGAAAAGCAUUAGCGGCAUCUGGGCUGCUUGCAGGUGUGAUAACUUGUCUACACCUUUGCAGUGGCUGCAUUUGUGCUGCUUUAGAGGGCAUUGAUGAAAUUUGACCUCAAAUCAGGUAGGACUACCCGCUGAACUUAAGCAUAUCAAUAAGCGGAGGCU
rnacentral:misc_RNA from 1 species